rnacentral:rRNA from 1 species
CGUAGGGUGCGAGCGUUGUCCGGAAUUAUUGGGCGUAAAGAGCUCGUAGGCGGUUUGUCGCGUCGACUGUGAAAACCUGGGGCUUAACUCUGGGCCUGCAGUCGAUACGGGCAGACUUGAGUUCGGUAGGGGAGACUGGAAUUCCUGGUGUAGCGGUGAAAUGCGCAGAUAUCAGGAGGAACACCGGUGGCGAAGGCGGGUCUCUGGGCCGAUACUGACGCUGAGGAGCGAAAGCGUGGGGAGCGAACAGGAUUAGAUACCCUGGUAGUCCACGCUGUAAACGUUGGGCGCUAGGUGUGGGGAGCAUUCAUGUUUUCCGUGCCGUAGCUAACGCAUUAAGCGCCCCGCCUGGGGAGUACGGCCGCAAGGCUA